AGGCACGAAUAUCUUGCUAUUUUUAAGGAGAUUCAAGCCCACUGCAUCAUAAGUCAUAAUCUGUACCGAUCCAUCAGUAUAUCUCCAGAAAAUUACAUGGUAUAGCCCAAUAAUGGAUGACUUUGAAUUUUUUACCCCCAUUAGAAAAGUUUUAAAAAUUAGACUUUCUUCUUUAGUUUUAAAAAUUAGACUUUCUUCUUUUUUAAGUAUUGUACAAGCACAUUUUUGCCUCCUAAACAUCAAAUAUUUUUAAACUUUUCAUACUCGUUUG
rnacentral:lncRNA from 1 species